UACGUAGGGGGCAAGCGUUGUCCGGAAUCAUUGGGCGUAAAGCGCGUGUAGGCGGCUCGAUAAGUCUGCUGUGAAAGUCCAGGGCUCAACCCUGGGAUGCCGGUGGAUACUGUCGAGCUCGAGUCCGGAAGAGGCGAGUGGAAUUCCUGGUGUAGCGGUGAAAUGCGCAGAUAUCGGGAGGAACACCAAUUGCGAAGGCAGCUCGCUGGAACGUAACUGACGCUGAGACGCGAAAGCGUGGGGAGCAAACAGGG
rnacentral:rRNA from 1 species